rnacentral:rRNA from 1 species
AUUGAACGCUGGCGGCAUGCCUUACACAUGCAAGUCGAACGGUGACAGGUCUUCGGAUGCUGACGAGUGGCGAACGGGUGAGUAAUACAUCGGAACGUGCCUAGUAGUGGGGGAUAACUACUCGAAAGAGUGGCUAAUACCGCAUGAGACCUACGGAUGAAAGCAGGGGGUCGCAAGACCUUGUGCUACUAGAGCGGCCGAUGGCAGAUUAGGUAGUUGGUGGGAUAAAAGCUUACCAAGCCGACGAUCUGUAGCUGGUCUGAGAGGACGAUCAGCCACACUGGGACUGAGACACGGCCCAGACUCCUACGGGAGGCAGCAGUGGGGAAUUUUGGACAAUGGGCGCAAGCCUGAUCCAGCAAUGCCGCGUGCAGGAUGAAGGCCUUCGGGUUGUAAACUGCCUUUGUACGGAACGAAAAGCCCUGGGUUAAUACCCUGGGGUCAUGACGGUACCGUAAGAAUAAGCACCGGCUAACUACGUGCCAGCCGCCGCAGUAAAAC